rnacentral:tRNA from 4 species
GGACGAUUAGCUCAGCUGGGAGAGCACCUGCCUUACAAGCAGGGGGUCGGCGGUUCGAUCCCGUCAUCGUCCACCA